rnacentral:rRNA from 1 species
CCUACGGGAGGCUGCAGUGAGGAAUAUUGGUCAAUGGGCGAGAGCCUGAACCAGCCAAGUCGCGUGAGGGAGUACUGCCCUAUGGGUUGUAAACCUCUUUUGUCGGGGAGCAAAAGCCGGACGUGUCCGGCUGUGAGCGUACCCGAAGAAAAAGCAUCGGCUAACUCCGUGCCAGCAGCCGCGGUAAUACGGAGGAUGCGAGCGUUAUCCGGAUUUAUUGGGUUAAAAGGGGGCGCAGGCGGAUUUUUAAGUCAGCGGUAAAAUCGUGGGGCUCAACCCCAUCCAGCCGUUGAAACUGGGGAUCUAGAGUGUGCGAGAGGUAUGCGGAAUGCGUGGUGUAGCGGUGAAAUGCAUAGAUAUCACGCAGAACCCCGAUUGCGAAGGCAGCAUACCGGUGCACAACUGACGCUCAGGCACGAAAGCGUGGGUAUCGAACAGGAUUAGAUACCCCUGUAGUC